rnacentral:lncRNA from 1 species
UUGAACAUUUAUCAAAUCACAGAGCCGAGUGUUGGGAGAUGGACAGGUUUGUUGACUGAGUAUGCCCCGUCUCGUUGUAUUUACUCUCUCUUACUGGACAGUAUUCCUCAAGGAUUGCCUUUCCCUCGGCAUUCGCCACAAGAAAAGACAACAUUGAGGACGACCUUGACACAGAAGAUCAGAUUCUUCAGUGUUGCAGAACGAUGCUGCGCUGACCACCAGAGAUUCACAGAAGGAUACCUCAUGGACACCACCACCUCAUUGCUCUGUCCAUGUAGCGGCCUCUCUGCUGGACGACUGUCUGCGGUGUAUUGGCGGCCGAGGCCUGUGUGCUCUCAUACCCUGUUGGACUGGAUCACAGCUGGACAUGGGAUGGUCUCAGAGGGGAGCAGACGGUAGAGGAGAGCCUCCCAGAAACCAGCUUUGUCCCAGUCCUGGGCUGAGGGUGAGAUGGAACCCAGCUGACUACGGUCUCAACCAGGAGUUAACACACACCUUGUGAACAUGGACUCAAAAUGACUGAACAUAUACAACUAUGCUCAUGGCCUGUUACUCACACACACACACACACAUCUGGUUGGCAAGUUUCAACUCCUGGAUAUAAAUAGUCAAUGAUUAAUUCCUCUUUACUCAUUUUUGUUUGGUUAUUUGAAACUUUUUUUGGUUUUACUUGCCUUAAAUGUACAGAAUUAAAUUGCCCAUGUGUGAUGUCCCCUUCCCCACCAUCCCUAAGUAAUGCUUGACCUGGUGAAGUGUAUCUAAGGAUUUCUGGCGUUGGGUUGUUUUGGGACAAAAUUUGCCCUUCUGAGCAGUAAAAUUGCAGUAAUUGGGAUUAAAGUGAGUGCUGUAAAAAUGUAAAUAUAAUGUUAAAGCUAUUAGAGGAAUGUCUCUCAUGCAGAAUUGGUUCAUUAGUUUUGGGGGAAAUGUUAUGGGAUUUGACUCUUCUGCUACUCUACCACAGCAGCAUUUGAGAUGGGGGGGGUUGUGUAUAUAGUUUUCCUUUUGAAUAGACGUGUUACAGAAUAAAUAAACUGUGUGGAAUGCAAUAUGAAUGUGUUGUCAUAACUUCGCUAUUACAUAUUGUUUU